GACGACGCUGGCGGCGUGCCUAACACAUGCAAGUCGAGCGGAGUCGAUCGACGGAAGCCUUCGGGCGGAAGAUGGUUGACUUAGCGGCGGAUGGGUGAGUAACCGUGGGCAACCUGCCUCGAAGACCGGGAUAACAGCCCGAAAAGGGCUGGCUAAUACCGGAUGUGGUCAAAAGAUCCGCAUGGAUUUUGAUUAAAGGGGAAACCCGUUUCGAGAUGGGCCCGCGUCCUAUCAGCUAGUUGGUGAGGUAAAAGCUCACCAAGGCGACGACGGGUAGCCGGCCUGAGAGGGUGACCGGCCACACUGGAACUGAGACACGGUCCAGACUCCUACGGGGGGCAGCAGUGGGGAAUCUUCCACAAUGGGCGAAAGCCUGAUGGAGCGACGCCGCGUGAGCGAAGAAGGCCUUCGGGUUGUAAAGCUCUGUCUGGAGGGACGAAGGAAGUGACGGUACCUCCGGAGGAAGCCACGGCUAACUACGUG
rnacentral:rRNA from 1 species